GCUAUUUUGUACAGUGGCAGAGUAUCUGCCUGGCAUGCAGAAGGUCCCACGUUCAAUCCCUGGCAUAUCCA